rnacentral:rRNA from 1 species
AAACUUAAAUGAAUUGACGGGGACCCGCACAAGCGGUGGAUGAUGUGGUUUAAUUCGAUGCAACGCGAAAAACCUUACCCACCUUUGACAUGGCAGGAAUCCUAAAGAGAUUUGGGAGUGCUCGAAAGAGAACCUGCACACAGGUGCUGCAUGGCUGUCGUCAGCUCGUGUCGUGAGAUGUUGGGUUAAGUCCCGCAACGAGCGCAACCCUUGCCAUUAGUUGCUACGAAAGGGCACUCUAAUGGGACUGCCGGUGACAAACCGGAGGAAGGUGGGGAUGACGUCAAGUCCUCAUGGCCCUUAUAGGUGGGGCUACACACGUCAUACAAUGGCCUGGUACAGAGGGUAGCCAACCCGCGAGGGGGAGCCAAUCCCAAAAGCCGGUCGUAGUCCGGAUCGCAGUCUGCAACUCGACUGCGUGAAGUCGGAAUCGCUAGUAAUCGCGGAUCAGCAUGUCGCGGUGAAUACGUUCCCGGGUCUUGUACACACCGCCCGUCACACCAUGGGAGCGGGUUCUGCCAGAAGUAGUUAGCCUAACCGCAAGGAGGGCGAUUACCACGGCAGGGUUCGUGACUGGGGUGAAGUCGUAACAAGGUAGCCGUAUCGGAAGGUGCGGCUGGAUCACCUCCUUUCUG